rnacentral:misc_RNA from 1 species
UUUAUUUCAAAUGUGAUCUAUUGUUAAUUGCUUAAGGCUUUCGUGUCUUUAAAAGAGUCUGAUUCUUUCUUUUUUCGAUGCUAUUGUCUUCUGUUCAUGUAGAUAAAAUUUAUAGCUUACAUUAAUUGUUGGUUUGUUUGAAUUGUCUCUAAUACUGCUGAAAUUUUUUACAUCAUGGAAGCCAUUAUUUGUUCACUAAUUAACACCUUUAUAGGAACCAUAAUCACGGUUUCUCAAGAAUCCUAUCAUUUCUCCUCCUUGUUUUUUGGUUUUUCAGCCUCACGUAUACAUUUGAUGUGUACAAUCUUUCCUUAAAGACAAAAUGUUUGGAUUUAUGAAUUCACCUGCAAAUAAUUCAACUAAUGAAGAUCUUCCGCCCCCUUCUACCGCUAAUCCUUUUGAUUCAGAUGAUGAUGAAUCCAAUGCCAAACAAGCAGGUCAGCGUGC